UCUCCCAGCCUGAGCCGUUGCAGCACCCUGAAGCCCCCCCUCUUCAUUCUCCUGCACACACUCCAAGAAACUUGUUGAGCCGUCCACCUCAGGACCCAGACGUCCCAUCUGCAGAUCGGCAGAGGACAGGAACAGGAAAGGACAAGCGCCCGAGACACCAAGCAGCAGCACCGCCACCGCAGACAUGUCGGACUCCGAGACCGCCGCCGCCGCCGAGGUCCCUGCUGAUUGUGCCGUCCUCAAGGCUGAGCUGGACAAAUGCGUGGCCAAGAAGGGAGCCGACGGCUGCAAAGACCUGAUGGAGGCCUUCGCUGCUUGUGUGAAGAGCGCCGCUGAGGGCUCGUCAUGAGGAGGCGCCCUCCAACCUCCAAUGAGGUCCACUGCACUGAGUCCUCCAGGUCCCCAGCAUUCCCUUCUGCACAACAGCACUGGAUUGAAUGAUGAAGACGAUUUAAAAUGAUCAUGGGAUGAUAAAAGUGUUGAUUUGGGCUGAAUUUAGGAUGUGUUGUCAGUACCCCCCCCCCCCCCCCCUCCUGUUAUAGGUUUAUCUGGUGUCCCUCGGUCUUACCGCCAUUCCCCUUCUCCCUAUGCGGCUGACAUGCAGCACAUCGACUUGUAGACAAUUCCAGAGAGCUGAGCUGUAACGUUUGUUGUCGACUUGAGAUGAAUAAUUAUAAAUGGAAAUAUAAAUAUCAAAUAAUUGGAAUAUGAAAAUCA